rnacentral:rRNA from 1 species
UACGUAGGGUGCGAGCGUUAAUCGGAAUACUGGGCGUAAAGCGUGCGCAGGCGGUUUUGUAAGCCAGAUGUGAAAUCCCCGGGCUUAACCUGGGAAUGGCAUUUGGGACUGCAAGGCUUGAGUGCGGCAGAGGAGACUGGAAUUCCUGGUGUAGCAGUGAAAUGCGUAGAUAUCAGGAGGAACACCGAUGGCGAAGGCAGGUCUCUGGGCUGACACUGACGCUCAGCACGA